rnacentral:rRNA from 1 species
AGUGAACGCUGGCGGUAGGCCUAACACAUGCAAGUCGAACGGCAGCACAGUAAGAGCUUGCUCUUACGGGUGGCGAGUGGCGGACGGGUGAGGAAUACAUCGGAAUCUACUUUUUCGUGGGGGAUAACGUAGGGAAACUUACGCUAAUACCGCAUACGACCUACGGGUGAAAGCAGGGGAUCUUCGGACCUUGCGCGAUUGAAUGAGCCGAUGUCGGAUUAGCUAGUUGGCGGGGUAAAGUCCCACCAAGGCGACGAUCCGUAGCUGGUCUGAGAGGAUGAUCAGACACACUGGAACUGAGACACGGUCCAGACUCCUACGGGAGGCAGCAGUGGGGAAUAUUGGACAAUGGGCGCAAGCCUGAUCCAGCCAUACCGCGUGGGUGAAGAAGGCCUUCGGGUUGUAAAGCCCUUUUGUUGGGAAAGAAAAGCAGCAGGUUAAUACCCCGCUGUUCUGACGGUACCCAAAGAAUAAGCACCGGCUAACUUCGUG